UACGGGGGGGGCAAGCGUUGUUCGGAAUUACUGGGCCUAAAGGGUGCGUAGGCGGCUUGUUAAGUCAGGGGUGAAAGUUUUCGGCCCAACCGGAAAAUUGCCUUUGAUACUGGCGGGCUGGAGUGCGUGAGGGGUGACCGGAACGAGUGGUGUAGCGGUGAAAUGCGUAGAUAUCACUCGGAAGGCCAACGGCGAAGGCAGGUCACUGGUGCGCAACUGACGCUGAGGCACGAAAGCGUGGGGAGCAAACAGG
rnacentral:rRNA from 1 species